rnacentral:rRNA from 1 species
CAACAGCUCAAAUUUGAAAUCUGGCCCUAGGCCCGAGUUGUAAUUUGCAGAGGAUGCUUUUGGUGAGGUGCCUUCCAAGUUCCCUAGAACGGGACGCCAGAGAGGGUGAGAGCCCCGUACAGUUGGACACCAAGCCUUUGUAAAGCUCCUUCGACGAGUCGAGUAGUUUGGGAAUGCUGCUCAAAAUGGGAGGUAUAUUUCUUCUAAAGCUAAAUACCGGCCAGAGACCGAUAGCGCACAAGUAGAGUGAUCGAAAGAUGAAAAGCACUUUGAAAAGAGGGUUAAACAGCACGUGAAAUUGUUAAAAGGGAAGCGCUUGUGACCAGACUUGCGUCCGGUGAAUCACCCAGCUCUCGCGGCUGGGGCACUUCGCCGGCUCAGGCCAGCAUCAGCUCGCUGUCGGGGACAAAAGCUUCAGGAACGUAGCUCUCUUCGGGGAGUGUUAUAGCCUGUUGCACAAUACCCUUCGGCGGGCUGAGGUACGCGCUCCGCAAGGAUGCUGGCAUAAUG